rnacentral:rRNA from 1 species
AUGAAGCUGGAAUUGCUAGUAAUCACAGGUCAGCAUACUGUGGUGAAUACGUUCCCGGGCCUUGUACACACCGCCCGUCACACCAUGGGAGUCGGUAACACCCGAAGCCAGUAGCCCAACCGCAAGGAGGACGCUGUCGAAGGUGGGAUUGAUAACUGGGGUGAAGUCGUAACAAGGUAAC